rnacentral:lncRNA from 1 species
UCAGCAUAGAUAACAAGGUUAAAAGAGCUCCCUAUCUCAUUACCCCAUUGAUUUACCAUCCCUUUAAGCCUAAAUUGAAUCACUUACAGUGUGUUACCUUCACUUAGGAAGUUCUUUUCUUGAAUUGAAUCUCUAAAUUUGCUGUGGUCAAGGGAAAUAAAAAUAUAAAUGCAUGCAAAUAAAAAGUUAGUGUAACCCCUUAUGAGCUGAUUUGCCCAAACUAUUAUGAAAAGAAAAGAAAAAGAAAAACCAUCACAAAAGCACAAAUCAUAAAACCUGUUCCUAUGGCCAAAUAAGCUUCGAACAGAGCUAGUAGCCACUUGAACAAGUGACUAACUGAGUAACCAGGGGUGGGUAUCAC